GACGAACGCUGGCGGCGUGCUUAACACAUGCAAGUCGAACGGAAAGGCCCUGCUUUUGUGGGGUGCUCGAGUGGCGAACGGGUGAGUAACACGUGAGUAACCUGCCCUUGACUUUGGGAUAACUUCAGGAAACUGGGGCUAAUACCGGAUAGGAGCUCCUGCUGCAUGGGGGGGGUUGGAAAGUUUCGGCGGUUGGGGAUGGACUCGCGGCUUAUCAGCUUGUUGGUGGGGUAGUGGCUUACCAAGGCUUUGACGGGUAGCCGGCCUGGGAGGGUGACCGGUCACAUUGGGACUGAGAUACGGCCCAGACUCCUACGGGAGGCAGCAGUGGGGAAUAUUGCACAAUGGGCGGAAGCCUGAUGCAGCAACGCCGCGUGCGGGAUGACGGCCUUCGGGUUGUAAACCGCUUUCGCCUGUGACGAAGCGUGAGUGACGGUAAUGGGUAAAGAAGCACCGGCUAACUACGUG
rnacentral:rRNA from 1 species